ACAGCCCAUGCCCUGGCACAUGCCAGCGACAGUCCCGCCUGUGGGAGGGAAGAAGCUCAUCACCACACACCAGAGGCCUCUGGUCUAGGCCACCCUCCCCAAGUACUCCUGUGAACAGUCUGAAGUCAUCUCCCUCUCCCCAGACAAUGUGCUGGACAUGCAAAAGGAUGGUUUGCAACCUGGCGCCCAAUUUUCCAAGGGACAAGGCAGCCAAGAUGUCUUCCUGGCGUCAGCACCUUCCUGGAGGCUCCAGCACCACUGCAGGAGACACUCCCGCCUUCCCACCAGCCUGAGGGUUGCGUGGGCAUUAGUGCCACCAGCAAAGAGAUGGGUCCCAGAAGAAAGGAACAAAGACCUCUCUCAGCAACCUCUGAAGCAACACAGUAACAUUUCACAUCACACUCAACUCCUGGAGCUGUAAAACGUGAGAGGAACCAUAUUGGCUUCAUCUGACCAGCAGCGCUGCCAAUAGAAAUGCACAUGGGAGAGUCUCUCCACACCAGAGCUCCCAUCAGCCCAGUUGUGUUGAGACUGCAGCCACUAUCCUGCCUACACUGUUCUGCUGCGGCCUUUCCCCACACCCUCUGUGUGGCUUGAAAAAAGGUCAUCAAGUUCCCCAACACCAUGUGUACCCAAGGUCAGCAAAAUAAGGGGCUAAAGCCACUGCCAACACCUGCAUUCACAUGGCUCCAUAUGCAGGGGCAAUAAAAAGGUUUCACAAUGGUCGAACGCAUCUUCCCCAGAGCCUACAGCACAAAAGCAGCCGCAAGCCAGAGAGCAGCUGACUCAGAGACCAGCUGAGCUGCUGCUCCACCGGCUGCAGCUCCAGCUCCCAACACAUUUAACCAUAAUUACAUGGGUCAGAUCGCCUCUGCCUCAUCACCCCAGUGUAGGGAGAGCCGUCAUGUGCCCGGUCUGCACUUACACUGCUAACAACUGGAGGAGUUAUCUCACUUUAGCAAAACAACAUACGCAUACCCAGAACAGUUUAGAAGUAUGGUCAAGUGAAAGCCUUGAGGAAUUUAAUCUAUGUAACUUCUCAACACCAACCCACCCCCCCAAAACCCAACCUCAAAGGGACUGACUCAACUGCUGCCUUUAAAUACUUCCACAGGGAGUAGAGAUUUGUUAAUAGAUGGCUCUUGAGGCUGGCAGAGAGGGGUACAAUAACAUCCAACAGCUGGAACUCGAUUCAGAAAAAUGCAAGACAGAAUUAAAAAACAGUUUCUGCAACUGUGCAAGUAAUUAGCCAUUGAAACGACUUGUGGGGAACUAAUGGAUUGUCCAUUAUUGACUCAAACCCAAAAACGGACUGAAUAACAUCUUAAACUGUAAGUUCAUCACCACAAGCCCAUAACCUUCACUGUGCAGGUCAGCCGAGAUGAUUUCUGCCUCCUAAUCUGACAAUAAGAUUAUUUUUAAACUCAGUAUAAAAGGAACAGAUACAAACAACUUGGGAAGCCCCAGGGCAGAAUAAGGAAACACAACUGCACCAUUUCCUUCAAACUGCUAAAAAAAAUAAUCAUGCCACCUUCUUUGUUGUGCCAUUUUAGGGAACCUCAUAUUGUACAUUUAUAUCUGAACAUCUAUCAGGACAGCCAAGCAACAGUUUGGCAAGUUCACUCCAAGGGGAUAGGGAAGGGGAGCAUAACCUCCAUUUACUUACACGGUACAUUCCUACACAGGAUGCUACCUCAUAGAUUGGAGAACAGCUUUCUCUCGCGCUGUAUGGCUGGCAGCUUGCUUUCAGCUUUACAGUUCUGGAGGUGAUGUUCGCAGGCUGCACACAGCCUUCCUAUUUCAAAAAUUAUACUCAAAUCCUUAUUGAAACAAAGGCAAAGCAAGCAGAAGUGAAGGGCAAGCUUUACACCACCUCCUGGGCAGGUGAAAUGUCAGCCUGAAGUCGUGGGAGCUGCUGCACUCCUCGAGUAGCAGCAGAAACAUGACUGAAGCUUCUGCGUUCAUUCAUCACAGAUACAUUUUUCAGCCUGGCCCUGGCCUUGCCUUAAGCAAACAGGAGUCAUAGUUCAUAGGGUAAAAGAAAGCUGGAACAAGGGAGAAUCCAUGAGGCACUCCAUGUUAUUUGUUUUACUUUUAUGUAAAUACUUUAACAGCAGUGAUGGUUUUAUUUAAAAAGUCAGGACUUCGUAAGGUACAAAGAUCCUUAUAAGCAUGUGUGUUAUGACUCAGUGAGGCUGGCGUGUUUCCAGCUUUCUCUUUGGGUUUUUCCCAAGCACGCAUCUCCUGACCUCAUUCUUCAUGCCAGGUUGCAAAAAGCAAAACAACAAAACACAAACUCCCUCUUUUUUCUUUUUCCAGUGCUGCAGCCAACACUCGGUUAAAAUCACUGUGGCACCCAAUGCCCUAAAUGAAUAUGCUUUCAUGGUUAAACAGCCCCCAGAGAGUCUUUCCCACAGAUGCAAGAAGGUCAUUUUGAAGCAAUGGGAAAACUAAACCACAAGUUUCUACUCUUUCCUCAAGGAUAUUUUUGAAGGAGAACUAUUUCAAAGGGUGGUUUUUACUGUGUUUAGUUAGAAACAUAACAAAAAUCUGUCUUUUGCAUGAAAAACACAUUUUCAGAGAUCAUAUAAAUUACUUUUCAGCAGAAGGACCAAGAUGGAAACAUUUGUUUACUGGACUCAAGACCUUCAACAGAGUUUUGCCUUUUGGCUGUAUAUUAUCAAUGGAAGACAGUUACACCUGUUUUUCUCUAGAAGUCAGACCUAAGAGAAAUUGGAGGAAAACCUAGAUACGCCAUCCGAGGCUGAGAGUGAUCCUUCCGUGCAGGCUUGGGCGAGUUAGCACUACUAAGUGCAAUUAGCAGGUUUAUUCAUUUACACAGCCCACUUUUUCAGUAUAAGUAUGGCACGGCAGGAACCUCAUGAGAAAGCACGAAGUGUUACUGCUGUUAUCAACACACGUACUUCCCCUGCUGCAUUAGCAGAGGUCUCCAGUGGAUUACAUAGUCCCAUCAACCUUCUAACCACAUUGUCCUCACAGGGGGAAACCCUGCUAUUGGCCCAUCGGUGUAAACUCCGUCUCUACGUAACUUGCAGGAGCACAUGGGCUGUUCCUCGACCAGACAGCAGAGGCUCUCCUCAGCAGAUACUCCUAGCAAAAGUCUGAACUCCCAGGGUACUGAUAUGAAACUCUAAUAUAUUCAACUGAAGCUCUAUAAAUAAAGAUUUUUGGCUCCUUCUGUCAGUUAUCAAGCUGCUUGGACUUCUUACAGCCAAGCAGAGCAUGGUGAAAACUAGUUAUACCCAUAUAUAUACCCACAGUAAUAUCCUUGUAGUCUUUCGCUUACUAUCAAGGUCCCUCUACUCCCUUCUCCUCUCAGAAUAAAGUUCGCACUUAUUUAAUAUUUAACCUUUUAAUCAAGUUUAACUAUCCAGAGAGGAUGUAGCAGUUUCUCAUUUAAAACAAACUGCUUAUAUUCAGUGAGAAAAAAUAAAAUCUCAUGAAUGGCUUAAGUUGAUGAAGAUUGAUACAGCUUGGAGACUUAAUAGUACAGUGACUCAUGCCUUCUGGAAAAUGUAAUCUGUUCUGUCUAGUUUAGGAAAAUAGGUCAUGUUUUUAAAAUGUGCUAACUAACAUGAAGAAAGGGGAAAUUUCCUUUAUUAAUGGUUCUGUUUUAGCAUUUUAAGCGUAUCUGGUAAUUAUAGCGACUUUUUCCCUUCGUACUUGCAGAAAACUUCCCCAAAGAACUCACAUUACAUUACAGCUCCUGACUAGCAGAACCAAUGUUAACAUAGAAAACAAACACUGGAGGAAAAUAAAAAUCUCUCCCUGCUUUAGCACUUCUCCCACAGCUUUCAUUGCCUGCAAUCUCCCUUUGGUUUGCACCCUUUCACCGCCUCCUACUACACCAGGGAUUGCAUUUCCUCCUUUCAGAUGAAUUCUGAAGAGCAGCACGGGAGAGAAAUGCUGCAUUUUUUGGCUCACUAAAGGCCUCAGGCACUUUUGAGCCCAGUGAGCUUUAACCUGCUCUUGCAAAAAUACAUUAGGGUAGAAGAGUUACACUCAGAAUCUUCAAAUACACGUGUCUUCAUACAGGCUCCCAGAACUGAGGUGUAAAAAAUAGUUCCUAAAUUUAUCUUUGGCCUCAUAAUGAAAUAUUGAAAAAUAGUCAGUUCAUGUGUUGUUUCUUUUACAUAAACUCAGAGGCCUUGUUGAUGGUUCUGCACCUCUAGAAAACUACUACUCAAUAUGAAACUAGUGAAACCUUACAAGACAUCAACUGUUUCCCGUGUUGGUCAGCCAAGACAAACACAAAAAAAAAAAAAAGAAAAAAAGAAAAAAAGGCUAAGACAAAACAAAUUCAGAGUAAAGACAGCUCUAAAUUUUCCUAAUUUAUCAGCUUGCAGCAGGACUUCAACUAAACCAACUCUCACCAAUAGCCAUGACUUCACAGUUACGACUUUCUUAGGCCAGACCAGGAAUAUAAUCAACCAUUUUGCAAUUAGAGUGUCUGAGUUUUGGGCUCUGACAAGAGCCAGCAGAGAGAAGCCAGGGGUGGUGGAGUGCUGCAAGAAAGAGGUGUAAAGGUAUAUGAUAAUUACUCAGACUGGGGGAGAGGUUUUCAUAACCAGAUUAAUUCACCUGACACCACUUGGGAUGCACCUGCUCCAAGCCCCAUGCCAGCAUCAGCCCCUAUGUGGCCACUUGGCCAGUUUUAUCGGGGAAAAGAAUCAAAAUCUCCCCCCCAAGACAAGAAAAAUUACUGUCUUCAUCCAGAUCAGCUCCCUCAUUACUAACCACAUAACCAGACGGCAACCACUGCUGGGGCAGAGAGAAAAAUGGGAUUGUCCCUUUGAGCAGCAACUCACACUUAGAGCGAUGCAAGCCCACCUCAGCACCAAACCAUGACGAUGACCGUGAGGAAGGGAGGGCACCACAGACAGUAUUCAGGAAAUGAAAACCACUUUGCUGUAAAUGUCAAUACUGUAAACCCCAAGCAUCGCACUGCAUUCAGAUGAACCAUACCCACUUUUUCCAAAAUUAUUUACUUUAGAGGAGUGAAAGGGAAAUAUAAGAGGGUGAGGAGUGUAUCUGUUACAGGGACAGGGCCGGCAACGAUUUGGGUAGGUGACAGCCUGACAAGAUAGAAUUUUCUGUUUGACCAUCACCUGUAGCCAAUUUAUGCCUGAGCAAAAGCUCUGACUUGAUAAAUAGGUUCCUUACCUGGUGCUCUGUUCAAAACAAGGGAACAUCUCCUAAAAUGCACACUGAGUUAUCUUUGAAAGGGUAUGCUGUAUACAAAUACAUACCUCCCGAGCAGAAACCAAAAUAAUCUAAGCAUCAUUUCCUGUCUAGGUGAACAGGUCUAAAUCUUUCUUAAAAGAAAAACAAACCAACCAACCUGAUGGGGGAUGCUUACACUGCAUGUCUUCACUUCUCUGGAACCCAUGGAAUGAUAUAUAUUUAUCUUUGAUUACACAGUACUAAAAAACUACAGCUGAAAUUGGAUUAGAAACUUCUGCUGAAAAACAAUUUAUUGCAUAACACAACUCUGACAGCCAGGGUUUCUGGCCACCAACUGAGCUUUUAUAAAAAUCUGCUGGGUAGCUGCCAAAUCAGUUCUUUGAGUCUUGGCAUGUCCGACAUCUGAGACAGUAGUCAAGGCAGCCACAUGUCCUGUGCCAUCCUCAGUCCUGCACUUUUACGUUUAAAUGUUACCGUCAAAGAACAGAGUAGUAUGAGCCAUUAAACACACAAAGGUAAAAAAAAUCUCUUGCAGCUGCAGAUCUGACAACUCUGAUCAUGCUGCAGAAGCCCAAGAGCCACAACAGGAUUUUUUUCUUUUUCAGAAUCUGGUAUUAAUUUGAACAUAAAAGUAGCUUAUUAAGAAGAGGGGAAAAAAGAGAAGUGAGAAAUGGUAGUAAGUUCCAAAAAAGGUCUAUACUCCUAGCUGAAAAUCGCUGCCAUUUAUAAAUUUCACAUUCCAAAUAUUCUUCCUCUGUCUCCAGUUCUAAUUAAAACUCUCCACCAAGUACACUUCAGAUAGACACAUAAAACCCAGUAUGCACAAAGAGUAUUCAGCGGCUCAAGUUAAUUAAAUCCAAAUAUAUUCUUUCUAAUUAAUUUCAUUUUGAUCUAGUUCAUAUUUUUAUAAGGUGUUCAAGCUCCAGUAUGCAGCCAUACAAAUGCAGUACACUAAAAAAAUAUUUUCUGCAGUUUAAAUGUCUGCUAACAAGACCUACAGACAUGUAUGUCUAAUCCAAUCCUGCUGUAUAUUAGCCUGAUUCUCGACUUGAACACUAACAACUUUUGCAUGCCAAAAUAGUGCCAAGGUAGUAGGGAAGAGAGAAAGAUAAAAUUGGUGUGUUAUAAAUUUGCCUUCAGUAUUUCUAUGGGAACUUAAAGAGAUCUGAUUUUUUGCAUUUCACAGUGUCUGAAUGGUUGGUCAGUGGUGCCAAUACUUUAGAGAAGCUGGAGAACUGUUGAUGUGUUUAGCACCUAUCCUCACACAAGUACAACAGGAGGUUUUUCAGCAGGCAGUGCUGGGUUGGUGCCAGGUGGCUCAGCACUAGGGCAGGGGUGAUGCACAGCUAUCCUGACUCUGUGGGGGCACAGCUCAUGCAACAGGGGUCUGCAGAGGAUGUGCCUCCCCCACCAUCCAGAGAUCUGUUUGGGUUGGCAUUCAAUUCCCUUAUCCCUCCUCCACUCCCUGAUCAAUGGCAACAUUCAAACUUUACUGAUGAUAUUAGAAGCACAUCAAAGACAACCAUUAAGCUUUUAA